rnacentral:lncRNA from 1 species
ACAGUGAAGGGAUUAACGGGUUUCGGGUUUUCUAAACCCACAACCCGAAUCCGGUUAAAUUUAAAAAAAAAAAAAGGGUGAAGGGAUUAACAGGUUUCGGGUUAUUGGGCUUCGCCCCGCAACCCGAAACCCGAAUCCUUUUGACUAAACUGUGAGUUUUGCACAGAAACCCCUGACAAUAUGUUAUUCUGAACAAGGGAAUUCCGAAAUUCAUCUAUGGUCCCCAGCCGAAAGAUAAAUUACAGAAAGGUCCUAAAAUAUAUUUAUUUGAUCCCUGUACUUAGGAUUUAUUACAGAACAGUACACCGAUUAUUACAUAUUGGUCCCUGUAAUGAAUUUAUUACAUAAAUAAUCAAUUUAGAUUCUUUCUUAUGAUGAUACAUGAUUAUUU